rfam:Methanobrevibacter oralis strain DSM 7256 MBORA_contig000053, whole genome shotgun sequence.
UGGGAUAUUUUCCCAUUGGAUGUGGCUUUAUAGCUGAACAAAAAA